CGGACCCCGGCCCCGCCUCGGCUGCCGCUUCGCCAGCCCACCCAGCCGCAGCCGACCUGGCAGCGCGGCAAAUUCUACCGCGGGCGAGUCUGCCAAACAAGCAUUGACCGCUGGAUCAGACCAAGUUGGGAAUUCUCUCCAAGUUCCACAAGCAGAGACUCGGAAUUGCCUCCUAGGGAUGAAAAGAUGUUUUGAAGCCAUCAUCUACAUACUCUGCAUUCGAGAGACUGAAGUCUAUCUUGAAGGACAUAAUCACUGACCAGGAGAGGAAACAGGUAUAAAGUUCAUCCUCAGAGAUAACUAGACCCCAUAUAAAAGUUGCUAGCACAGUGCUUGCAUGAGUGCCCAACACCUGAUCUAUGAGCAAUGAAAGACUUCUCUGCUGAGAAACAGGUGUUUUUAAGGCCCCAGAUGUCAAGAAUACACACACUGGAGUUGUAAUCUACAAACUGAGAAUGAAGGCCAGAUGGAGAGCAUUUGGUGGGGGCAAGAAUGGCACCAGAAAUUGUUAUAGGAAUACAAAGCAAACUUCUCGACCAAAUUAAAAAAAGAUG